ACAAGUGGUUGUCGCUGAAAUCGCUGAAUCGCGAGACCCCAGGGCCCUAAGGGUUAUCUUAUGAGGUUGAAUACGUAAAAUAAUCACGAACAUCCCGGAGGCUGUUUAGGGAUAUUUCCUGAGUAUUUUCGCAUGAGGGACCCAGUAACGAAUGACUGUUUGGUUCUCUCUCUGGGUCAGUUUUUCGAACAAUGCUGAGGUAUCGAAGUAGGAAGGCAUGUGCUGAUGCUGAACCGAGGCAGGCACAGGUGUAGUCGGAAGCUGAGGAGGUAGACCUGUAAAUGAAGCAGUUCCGGCCAUUGAAGCAGUUCCGGCUACAUGGCAGGUAUCCGCAUGGUACCGCAUGGAUUGCGGCAUCGCGAAUUGUUGUCCUGGCGGUAGUAGGUUGUCCAACGAAGCAUUUGCAGAAAUCGGCAUUGGUCCCGCACUGCACGGAUAUCCAUGAGAGGCUCGAAAACGUCCUGCGAAAUGGGCGGAAUUAUCGAGUGAGAGGCAUCGUGUUGCAGUCCUGGCGGAAGUAUAUCAUCCGCAACAUGAUGCACGUCGAUCACAAAAUCCGGCUUUGGCGCUGGGCUGAAGUCAUUGUGCAAAUGCUGUGUCGAUGUAAUACACGCAAAAAUAACCGACAUGGAGGUCGCGGACACAGUAAAAUGGUGAAAACGGAAGACAUUACAGCUCAGGGUCACCAGUGAGUAGGAUUACCGGGUUGGUUGCACCAAUAAUCACACCCCAUUUAGCAAUAGUUCAUUUAUUAACUUUAACAUAUACAAGGAUCACAAAGAACUGAACUUAACAUGGCGGAACAGCCAAAGAUAAUGCUUAGAGUCCAAAGAUGAAUGCAUAUCGAUGUUGCUGUCGAUUUCAUUGACGCCACAGAGCCAAUAACAAGAAGAGAAAAUGAAGAUAAGUAAAAAGUUCUCCUUUUGUAUAUCUUAUGCAUCUUGAAGCUUUCAAAACUUUUAUGGACAGAUAAUUUUAAUAGUGAUAUGUGUGGGAGGGUAAGAUUACAAGUGUGGGCAUCAGCUGUGAUCUGUUGACUGAUAACGAAGUUUUUCUGUUGCAGAAGAAGAAAGUACAAUUCUUUCUAUAUUUGCAGUUUUGAUACAUUAAUGAACUUCAGUCACUCGACAAAAGAAGACCUGAGAGCUGCCCAACAAAGUUGUAUCAACAGUGAUGAGAUAAUAUGAACAAUGACGGGCCGGAUGAAUUGAAAGAUGACUUUACAAUGAUGAGGGACAUAAAUAAGAAAAAAGAUAAGAACAAAUUAUUUGUGAAAUUAAUCUUUUUUAGUGGACUCAUGUGAUUUCUAGGAAAAGGAGGGUAGUAGUGAUGAAGUAAAAGCUGUAGGAAGUAGCCUAGACAUCUUUGAACCAAGUGAAAGUGUAGUCAAGCAAAGAAAUAGUGAAAACCGAUAUUUUGCAGUUGAUUUUAUUAAAAUUAAAGGAAAUGAAGAUGGACAACAAUAGCAAAUUUAGUAUAGUUAAUGA